GAGGGGCCCGCGCCCGAUUAGCUUGUUGGUAGGGUAACGGCCUACCAAGGCUUUGAUCGGUAGCCGGUCUGAGAGGAUGGCCGGCCACACUGGAACUGAGACGCGGUCCAGACUCCUACGGGAGGCAGCAGUGGGGAAUCUUGCGCAAUGGGCGAAAGCCUGACGCAGCGACGCCGCGUGGGGGAUGAAGCCUUUCGGGGUGUAAACCCCUUUCGACCCGGACGAAUGGCCCGCAAGGGAAUUGACGGUACGGGUAGAAGAAGCCCCGGCUAACUACGUGCCAGCAGCCGCGGUAAGACGUAGGGGGCCAGCGUUGCUCGGAAUUACUGGGCGUAAAGGGUCCGUAGGCGGUGCGGCAAGUCGGGGGUGAAAUCUCUGGGCUUAACUCAGAGGCUGCCUCCGAAACUGCCGUGCUCGAGUGCGGGAGAGGCGAGCGGAAUUGCAGGUGUAGCGGUGAAAUGCGUAGAUAUCUGCAGG
rnacentral:rRNA from 1 species